AGUGGGAUAGCUGGGUCAAAUGGUGAUUCCAUUCCUAGUUUUCAAAGGAUUCUCCUUUCCAUAUUGGCUGCACCAAUUUGCAGUCCCACCAGCAAU
rnacentral:pre_miRNA from 1 species